rnacentral:tRNA from 1 species
GCGCCCCUAGCUCAAUUGGAUAGAGCAACAGACUACGAAUCUGUAGGUUGGAGGUUCGAAUCCUCCGGGGCGCACCA